CCUACGGGUAGCAGCAGUGGGGAAUAUUGCGCAAUGGGCGAAAGCCUGACGCAGCGACGCCGCGUGAGGGAUGAAGGUCUUCGGAUCGUAAACCUCUGUCAGCAGGGAAGAACGGUCACUGUGCUAAUCAGCAGUGAAUUGACGGUACCUGCAAAGGAAGCACCGGCUACCUCCGUGCCAGCAGCCGCGGGAAUACGGAGGGUGCGAGCGUUAAUCGGAAUGACUGGGCGUAAAGCGCUCGUAGGCGGUAUGUCAAGUCAAGGGUGAAAUCCCCGCGCUCAACGUGGGAAGUGCCUUUGAAACUGGCAAACUGGAGUGUGUGAGAGGAUAGUGGAAUUCAAGGUGCAGGAGUGAAAUCCGUAGAUAUCUGGAGGAACAUCAGUGGCGAAGGCGACUAUCUGGCACAUAACUGACGCUGAGGAGCGAAAGCGUGGGUAGCAAACAGGAGUAGAUACCCCAGUAGUC
rnacentral:rRNA from 1 species